UACGUCAUCAAAGUUCGGCGGCUGAAGGUGGGAAAGCCAAGGCUACCGCCGUCGCUAGUGCGCAAGCUCAAAGCGAGGUUGGCACCCGCGGAGCUGGCUAGGAGAAGCAAGCACUGUUCAAAGCAACUUCCAUACAUGUGCUUUUCCCAACAACCCUAAGUCGAUGAGGAUUUUGAUGCUUACAUAAAUGAAGUAACUUACCAAAGUGUUUUUCAGGUCACAGAAAAUGGUGGGACAAUCUCUUCAUUGCUGAAUUUAUAAUCUAUACUUUUUGGAUUCUUGACAAAUGUUUUGAAGGUUACUGUAUCUAUGGUGCUGUUCAUCUUGGUGUUUAAAUGCUCAUAUCCAUUAAGCCAAAAGAAAACACACAUGAGCCGUAAAAAGAGACUUUGCCUCUCCCAAGCCAGCAGCCUCUAGUCUGAGCAUCUCCAGGCAAACACUGGCUCAUUUGAAGCUUUUACCUUCAAGAUUUCAAAGAAAGGAGCUGAGAUCUUUGAUGGCAAGACUCCAAGAAGGCCCCCGAUGAUCCUUACCCCUGAUGUUCAUGUCCUUGGACUCCUUCACUGUAAGCCUCACCUGUGUGACUAACAGGACAUUACAGAAGUGUUGAUAUAUGACUUCUUAAGCUAGCCACAAAGAGCUAGCCUUGUUCUCUUGGGCCACUUGCUAUGGGAGAAGCCAGCACAGUGUUAUAAGGACACACAAGCAGGCCUGUGGAGAAGUCCACAUGGGAAAGAGCUGAGGCCUCUCACCAACAGCCAGCACUGUUCUGGUGAUAAAAGUGAGCUACCUUGGAAGUGGAUCCUCCAGUUCCGGACAAGCCUUCAGGUGACUGUGGCCUUGCCUGACAUCUGACCCUAACCUCGUAAGAAACUCCAGGCCAGGAUCACCAAGCUAAGUGCUACCAAACUCUUAGCUCACAGAAACUAUGAGAGAGAACCAAUGUUUCUGUUGUCUUAAGGCAUUGAGUUUUGGGGCAAUUUGUUACACAGCUCUGGAUAAACUGGAUUUCUUUAAAAGCUACACCAUAUAGACUAUGGGUGAUCUUAACCAAAUACAGAUAGGUGUUAGGGACUUAAACGAACAUUUCAAGUAAUUGUUUAUUGUAUUGUUUCUGCUUUCCACCAAGGAAAUUCAAUUUCAAGUCAACAUUCUGUGAAGCUUUGUACAAUAUAGCUUUUGAAAUGCGUUUUGUUGUUAAUGCUUUUCUUUCCUUUUUUUUUUUUUUUUUUAAGAGUUUCAGGCUCUACCUACUGAGCCAGCCAGUUACUC